rnacentral:rRNA from 1 species
AGGGCGAACGCUGGCGGCGUGCUUAACACAUGCAAGUCGAGCGGUGAUCCUCCUUCGGGAGGUGAUCAGCGGCGAACGGGUGAGUAACACGUGGGCAACCUGCCCCUCACACUGGGAUAACCUCGGGAAACCGGGGCUAAUACCGGAUACGACCUCGAGCGGCAUCUCUUGAGGUGGAAAGCUCCGACGGUGAGGGAUGGGCCCGCGGCCUAUCAGCUUGUUGGUGGGGUAAUGGCCUACCAAGGCGACGACGGGUAGCCGG